UACGGAGGGGGCUAGCGUUGUUCGGAAUUACUGGGCGUAAAGCGCACGUAGGCGGCUUUGCAAGUUAGAGGUGAAAGCCCGGAGCUCAACUCCGGAACUGCCUUUAAGACUGCAUCGCUUGAACGUCGGAGAGGUAAGUGGAAUUCCGAGUGUAGAGGUGAAAUUCGUAGAUAUUCGGAAGAACACCAGUGGCGAAGGCGACUUACUGGACGACUGUUGACGCUGAGGUGCGAAAGCGUGGGGAGCAAACAGG
rnacentral:rRNA from 1 species